GACGAACGCUGGCGGCGUGCUUAACACAUGCAAGUCGAACGGAAAGGCCCUGCUUUUGUGGGGUGCUCGAGUGGCGAACGGGUGAGUAACACGUGAGUAACCUGCCCUUGACUUUGGGAUAACUUCAGGAAACUGGGGCUAAUACCGGAUAGGAGCUCCUGCUGCAUGGUGGGGGUUGGAAAGUUUCGGCGGUUGGGGAUGGACUCGCGGCUUAUCAGCUUGUUGGUGGGGUAGUGGCUUACCAAGGCUUUGACGGGUAGCCGGCCUGAGAGGGUGACCGGCCACAUUGGGACUGAGAGACGGCCCAGACUCCUACGGGAGGCAGCAGUGGGGAAUAUUGCACAAUGGGCGGAAGCCUGAUGCAGCAACGCCGCGUGCGGGAUGACGGCCUUCGGGUGGUAAACCGCUUUCGCCUGUGACGAAGCGUGAGUGACGGUAAUGGGUAAAGAAGCACCGGCUAACUACGUG
rnacentral:rRNA from 1 species